UACGAGUGCUCCAAGCGUUAUCCGGAAUCAUUGGGCGUAAAGAGCUCGUAGGCGGUUUGUCGCGUCUGCUGUGAAAACUCGGGGCUUAACCCCGGGCCUGCAGUGGGUACGGGCAGACUAGAGUGCGGUAGGGGAGACUGGAAUUCCUGGUGUAGCGGUGAAAUGCGCAGAUAUCAGGAGGAACACCGGUGGCGAAGGCGGGUCUCUGGGCCGUAACUGACGCUGAGGAGCGAAAGCGUGGGGAGCGAACAGG
rnacentral:rRNA from 1 species